GUCGAACGCGUCUUGGUUAUUGAUGUUAAGUGCUUGCAUUUAACUGAUUUAACAUUGAGACGAGUGGCGAACUGGUGAGUAACACGUGGGUAACCUGCCCUUGAAGUAGGGGAUAACACUUGGAAACAGGUGCUAAUACCGUAUAACAACCAAAACCACCUGGUUUUGGUUUAAAAGAUGGCUUCGGCUAUCACUUUAGGAUGGACCCGCGGCGUAUUAGCUUGUUGGUAAGGUAACGGCCUACCAAGGCAAUGAUACGUAGCCGACCUGAGAGGGUAAUCGGCUACAUUGGGACUGAGACACGGCCCAAACUCCUACGGGAGGCAGCAGUAGGGAAUCUUCCACAAUGGACGAAAGUCUGAUGGAGCAACGCCGCGUGAGUGAUGAAGGGUUUCGGCUCGUAAAACUCUGUUGUUGGAGAAGAACAGGUGUGAGAGUAACUGUUCACAUCUUGACGGUAUCCAACCAGAAAGCCACGGCUAACUACGUGCCAGCAGCCGCGGUAAUACGUAGGUGGCAAGCGUUGUCCGGAUUUAUUGGGCGUAAAGCGAGCGCAGGCGGUUUCUUAGGUCUGAUGUGAAAGCCUUCGGCUUAACCGGAGAAGUGCAUCGGAAACCAGGAGACUUGAGUGCAGAAGAGGACAGUGGAACUCCAUGUGUAGCGGUGAAAUGCGUAGAUAUAUGGAAGAACACCAGUGGCGAAGGCGGCUGUCUGGUCUGUAACUGACGCUGAGGCUCGAAAGCAUGGGUAGCGAACAGGAUUAGAUACCCUGGUAGUCCAUGCCGUAAACGAUGAGUGCUAAGUGUUGGAGGGUUUCCGCCCUUCAGUGCUGCAGCUAACGCAUUAAGCACUC
rnacentral:rRNA from 1 species